rnacentral:rRNA from 1 species
UACAGAGGUCUCAAGCGUUGUUCGGAUUCAUUGGGCGUAAAGGGUGCGUAGGCGGCGUGAUAAGUCGGGUGUGAAAUCCCUUGGCUCAACCAAGGAAUGGCUUCGGAUACUGGCGAUCUUGAGUCCGGGAGAGGUGAGUGGAACUGCGAGUGUAGAGGUGAAAUUCGUAGAUAUUCGCAAGAACACCAGUGGCGAAGGCGGCUCACUGGCCCGGUACUGACGCUGAGGUGCGAAAGCGUGGGGAGCAAACAGG